AUGCCAGAGGAAUGCCCUAGAACAUCAAAUGGUACCAAAACUGAGUGUAUUGUUGCUGCUGACAAUAUGUUCUUAUUCAACAUUCCAACUAACAUAUCAAUUAUCAAUGGAAGGAUACAAGAAGAGGAUACUUGCUGGAGGUCGUUGUUGUCAGAAUCAUGUGGUCAUUUCCGUUUGGUUGAUCUAUCUACUGCACCAUUCGUUGCCACUGCCAGUCUAGGCGCCGAAGCUACUGCCCCUGCCAUAGCCGCAACUUCAGCCUCAGUUUCUUCGAGUUUGACAACAACAACUAUCCCUAUCCAAUCCACCUCUUCACCGGAGUCCAUCACUGACACUUCGGCAGUGGGUGCGUGGACGUGUAAGGCGUCUAGCGGCGGCGCAGCACCGCAACAGUGGUCUAUGUCGUAA
rnacentral:rRNA from 1 species